UAAAUCCUGGACUUAGAACUUAU
rnacentral:siRNA from 1 species